rnacentral:rRNA from 1 species
UACGUAGGUCACGAACGUUAUUCGGAAUCACUGGGCUUAAAGGGCGCGUAGGCGGCUCAGAAAGUAGAGGUUGAAAUCCGGCGGCUCACCCGUCGAACUGGUCUCUAAACUACUGGGCUGGAGUCAUGGAGGGGUGCGUGGAACUUGUGGUGGAGCGGUGAAAUGCUCAGAUAUCACAGGGAACACCGGUGGCGAAGGCGACGCACUGGCCAUGUACUGACGCUGAGGCGCGAAAGCCAGGGGAGCGAACGGG